AACUUUCAGCGACGGAUGUCUUGGCUCCCACAACGAUGAAGAACGCAGCGAAAUGCGAUACGUCUUGCGACUUGCAGAAUCCAGUGAAUCAUCAAAACUUUGAACGCAUCUGCGUUCCGGGAUAUGCCUGGGAGCAUGCUUGUCGGAGUGUCU
rnacentral:rRNA from 1 species